GCUGUGGCUCAGUGGUAGAGCAUUUGAUUGGCAGGCUAGAGGGUCCCAGAUUCAAUCCCUGGGAGCAGCA
rnacentral:tRNA from 1 species